rnacentral:rRNA from 1 species
CUCCGGUUGAUUCCGCCGGACCCGACUGCUAUCGGAUUGAGAUUGAGCCAUGUUAGUCGAACGUUCCCCUGUUGCGGGGAGCGUGGCGUACGGCUCAGUAACACGUAGUCAACCUGCCCUGGAGACAAGGACAACCCCGGGAAACUGGGAUUAAUCCUUGAUAGGUCAUCUCAUCUGGAAGGAGAGAUGGCUUAAAGGGGUACGCGGGCUUCUUCCGCGAAUUCGCUCCAGGAUGGGACUGCGUCCGAUCAGGCUGUUGGCGGGGUAAUGGCCCACCAAACCUGUAACCGGUACGGGCCUUGAGAGAGGUGGCCCGGAGAUGGACACUGAGAGAAGGGUCCAGGUCCUACGGGGCGCAGCAGGCGCGAAACCUUCGCAAUGCGCGAAAGCGUGACGAGGUUAAUCCGAGUGACUCCCGCUGAGGGGGUCUUUUGUCAGCUGUAAAUAGGCAGGCGAAUAAGGGGAGGGCAAGCCUGGUGUCAGCCGCCGCGGUAAUACCAGCUCCUCGAGUGGUCGGGGCGAUUAUUGGGCCUAAAGCAUCCGUAGCCGGUUCCGUAGGUCCUCUGUUAAAUCCAACCGCUCAACGGUUGACCUGCAGAGGAUACCGCGGGACUAGGAGGCGGGAGAGGCGGACGGUACUCCGCGUGUAGGGGUAAAAUCCUUUGAUCCGCGGAAGACCACCAGUGGCGAAGGCGGUCCGCCAGAACGCGCUCGACGGUGAGGGAUGAAAGCUGGGGGAGCGAACCGGAUUAGAUACCCGGGUAGUCCCAGCCGUAAACGAUGCUAGCUAGAUGAUUCAUUCGCAAGUCGCGAAUGAAGUGUCGCAGGGAAGCCGUUAAGCUAGCCGCCUGGGGAGUACGGUCGCAAGACUGAAACUUAAAGGAUUGGCGGGGGAGCA